UGAGGAAUAUUGGUCAAUGGGCGGAAGCCUGAACCAGCCAAGUAGCGUGAGGGAUGACUGCCCUAUGGGUUGUAAACCUCUUUUAUAAGGGAAUAAAAUACGGGACGUGUCCUGUUUUGCAUGUACCUUAUGAAUAAGGACCGGCUAAUUCCGUGCCAGCAGCCGCGGUAAUACGGAAGGUCCGGGCGUUAUCCGGAUUUAUUGGGUUUAAAGGGAGCGUAGGCCGCUGUUUAAGCGUGUUGUGAAAAACCGGGGCUCAACUCCGGUCGUGCAGCGCGAACUGGACGGCUUGAGUGCGCGGUAAGUGGGCGGAAUUUGUGGUGUAGCGGUGAAAUGCUUAGAUAUCACGAAGAACUCCGAUUGCGAAGGCAGCUCACUGUAGCGCAAACUGACGCUGAAGCUCGAAAGUGCGGGUAUCGAACAGGAUUAGAUACCCUGGUAGU
rnacentral:rRNA from 1 species